AGAUUAGCUUGCUAUAGUUGUCAGCUAAGUGGCGCACGGGUGAGUAAUGUAUAGAUAACCUGCCCUCUAGAAAGGAAUAACAGUUGGAAACGACUGCUAAUGCCCUAUAUGCCUUUAAUACAUAAGUAUGCAAGGGAAACGCUUUAGUGCUAGAGGAUGGGUCUGUAUGGUAUCAGUUAGUUGGUGAGGUAAUGGCUCACCAAGACAAUGACGCCUAACUGGUUUGAGAGGAUGAUCAGUCACACUGGAACUGAGACACGGUCCAGACUCCUACGGGAGGCAGCAGUGGGGAAUAUUGCACAAUGGACGAAAGUCUGAUGCAGCAACGCCGCGUGGAGGAUGACACAUUUCGGUGCGUAAACUCCUUUUAUAUAGGAAGAUAAUGACGGUACUAUAUGAAUAAGCACCGGCUAACUCCGUGCCAGCAGCCGCGGUAAUACGGAGGGUGCAAGCGUUACUCGGAAUCACUGGGCGUAAAGAGCGUGUAGGCGGGUAUAUAAGUCAGAAGUGAAAUCCAAUAGCUUAACUAUUGAACUGCUUUUGAAACUGUAUACCUAGAAUGUGG
rnacentral:rRNA from 1 species